AAGAUUUUAAGUUAAUUGAAACUGUUAGCCUUCAAAGCUUAAAAUUAUAGUCUUG
rnacentral:tRNA from 1 species